GGUUCAUUUCCAUACCAUGUGAUUCUCCAGAUUUCAUACAGUGGUUUAUAGAUGAUUAGUCACUGAAAAAAGAAUAUGUUUGAAUGGGAACUCUUCAAGAAUUUAUGCAUCUUGGAGUAGCUUCAUCAAGAGAGACUGAGGCAGUUCCCCCCCCCCUUCUACCCCAUAUCAUACUACAACAUAGCUCAGUGGUUAGAGCACACUCCUGAGAGGCAGCGUACUUUGUCUCUACCUCAGCAAGAAGGACAAUCAAACCAGCAUGUCUCACAUCACAGAGUGAACUGCUACAAUACCUGUCCAGAUGGCCGGUACAUCCUGAUAUGAUGCUUUGCAUUGCAUUUUCA